rnacentral:rRNA from 1 species
UGGGGAAUAUUGGACAAUGGGCGAAAGCCUGAUCCAGCCAUGCCGCGUGUGUGAAGAAGGUCUUCGGAUUGUAAAGCACUUUAAGUUGGGAGGAAGGGCAGUAAGCGAAUACCUUGCUGUUUUGACGUUACCGACAGAAUAAGCACCGGCUAACUCUGUGCCAGCAGCCGCGGUAAUACAGAGGGUGCAAGCGUUAAUCGGAAUUACUGGGCGUAAAGCGCGCGUAGGUGGUUCGUUAAGUUGAAUGUGAAAGCCCCGGGCUCAACCUGGGAACAGCAUCCAAAACUGGCGAGCUAGAGUAGGGCAGAGGGUGGUGGAAUUUCCUGUGUAGCGGUGAAAUGCGUAGAUAUAGGAAGGAACACCAGUGGCGAAGGCGACCACCUGGGCUCAUACUGACACUGAGGUGCGAAAGCGUGGGGAGCAAACAGG